AUCCUUGAUGAUGACAUUCUGCUGCAUAAUCCCAGCACUCCAGGCUCUGUUGUACUGCAACUGGGCUGCACACACAUGAAUGCCAUCAACUGCAGAGUCUCAUUAGUCCUAAGAUCCAAGAAUGAAUGAUUUUCAAACUUUCCACUGGCACACAGCAAGCUAACUCCCAUCUGGACUUCAUUGUUGUGCUCUCACAUCUUGCUGAGGUGCAGUCUCAUCUGUGCUGCAGAAAGAGAGACUGAACUGCUUCAACCCAGCUGGAUGUGUGUGUGUGAAUGUGGAUCACCUCUGGCCAGCAUGGGGGCAUAUUUGCCAUGCACUUGCAGUGUUUUCCUGAUGAUUAGGGAAAUAAAGGAUGUAAUAUAGAGAUUACAUGGCA